ACUGGCAUUCAGCAUGUCUGAGCCUGAGAGAACAUUCUGAAAAAACAUUUGAAAACAUACUGGAUUACCAACGUUUCAGAAUAAUCAGUCAAAUUAAUGAUUCUCUUCAUGUUUCGGGAUGCUAUAUUAUUCGUGCGAAAGUUUACAUACAAGGAAAAAAGAAAGUGUUGAAAUGCCUUACACAUCCCAUAUGAGUAAACAUAAGAAGAUCAAUUACAGAAGAUUCACGACUUGACCAGAAAACUGCUUAUUACAGUCUUUUGGUUUUGAUUUUGUUUUUGAAAAUUGAUUUUGUUAAAUGUGAAGGACUGAACAUACAUCAACAGGAGAGCAAGAAAACUUAAAAAAGAUUAAAAAAAAAUUGUGGAGCCCAUCAACAAUGGAGGAACCCAUGGAUUCUGGAGCCCCCCAAACCGUAAAAUAUGACCCAAAAUCAGAAACUGUAACGUUACCCAAUGGGCUAGUGUCUGUGGCCGGUGUUACAGUGGUGACAGGGGGAGCAGAGCUGUCCUGCGGAUCCUGUAUGUUGGCUUUUGGGGUUUGGGGAACUCUGGUCGGACUGAGUGUUGUGUCAGUGGGUUUGUGGGACAAUUCAACACACGUGAACAGUGGUCUGUCACACCUUCUGGCACUUGGGUUGGUGCUGCUUCUCACCAGCUUCAGUCUGGUAGUUGUGAUCUUUUUCCUUCGUUUCUUAAUGAAACAGAGAAGAAUGGCAGCCAGAAGAGAAAGGGCAGAAGCCAACCUAGUGCUGGUGAAUGACUAUGCAGAAGUUAUUUUAAAAAGAGUCACUGUGUGAAGGAGCAGAUUAAUGAAAACCUAUGUUGUGAUAUUUCUAAAUGUUGAAUAAAUCAGACUCUGUGCUA